rnacentral:rRNA from 1 species
GAUGAACGCUGGCGGCGUGCCUAAUACAUGCAAGUCGAGCGAACAGACGAGGAGCUUGCUCCUCUGACGUUAGCGGCGGACGGGUGAGUCACACGUGGAUAACCUACCUAUCAUACUGGGAUCACUUCGGGAAACCGGCGCUAAUACCGGAUAAUAUCUUGAACCGCAUGGUUCAAUAGUGAAAGACGGCUUUGCUGUCACUUAUAGCUGGAUCCGCGCCGCAUUAGCUAGUUGGUAAGGUAACGGCCUACCAAGGCGACGAUGCGUAGCCGACCUGAGGGGGGGAUCGGCCACCCGGGAGCGGAGACGCGCUCCAGACUCCUACGGGAGGCAGCAGUAGGGAAUCGUCCGCAAUGGGCGAAAGCCUGACGGAGCAACGCCGCGUGAGUGAUGAAGGUCUUCGGAUCGUAAAACUCUGUUAUUAGGGAAGAACAAAUGUGUAAGUAACUAUGCACGUCUUGACGGUACCUAAUCAGAAAGCCACGGCUAACUACGUG